GAUGAAGAACGCAGCGAAAUGCGAUAAGUAUUGUGAAUUGCAGAAUUCAGUGAAUCAUCGAAUCUUUGAACGCACAUUGCGCCCGCCAGUAUUCUGGCGGGCAUGCCUGUUCGAGCGUCAUUUCAACCAUCAAGCCCCCGGCUUGUGUUGGGGACCUGCGGCUGCCGCAGGCCCUGAAAACCAGUGGCGGGCUCGCUAGUCACUCCGAGCGUAGUAAUACAUCUCGCUCAGGGCGUGCUGCGGGUUCCGGCCGUUAAAAGCCUUAUUUACCCAAGGUUGACCUCGGAUCAGGUAGGAAGACCCGCUGAACUUAAGCAUAUCAAUAAGCGGAGGA
rnacentral:misc_RNA from 1 species